rnacentral:rRNA from 1 species
AGAGUUUGAUCCUGGCUCAGGACGAACGCUGGCGGCGUGCCUAAUACAUGCAAGUAGAACGCUGAAGAGAGGAGCUUGCUCUUCUUGGAUGAGUUGCGAACGGGUGAGUAACGCGUAGGUAACCUGCCUUGUAGCGGGGGAUAACUAUUGGAAACGAUAGCUAAUACCGCAUAACAAUGGAUGACACAUGUCAUUUAUUUGAAAGGGGCAAUUGCUCCACUACAAGAUGGACCUGCGUUGUAUUAGCUAGUAGGUGAGGUAAUGGCUCACCUAGGCGACGAUACAUAGCCGACCUGAGAGGGUGAUCGGCCACACUGGGACUGAGACACGGCCCAGACUCCUACGGGAGGCAGCAGUAGGGAAUCUUCGGCAAUGGGGGCAACCCUGACCGAGCAACGCCGCGUGAGUGAAGAAGGUUUUCGGAUCGUAAAGCUCUGUUGUAAGUCAAGAACGGGUGUGAGAGUGGAAAGUUCACACUGUGACGGUAGCUUACCAGAAAGGGACGGCUAACUACGUGCCAGCAGCCGCGGUAAUACGUAGGUCCCGAGCGUUGUCCGGAUUUAUUGGGCGUAAAGCGAGCGCAGGCGGUUUGAUAAGUCUGAAGUUAAAGGCUGUGGCUCAACCAUAGUUCGCUUUGGAAACUGUCAAACUUGAGUGCAGAAGGGGAGAGUGGAAUUCCAUGUGUAGCGGUGAAAUGCGUAGAUAUAUGGAGGAACACCGGUGGCGAAAGCGGCUCUCUGGUCUGUAACUGACGCUGAGGCUCGAAAGCGUGGGGAGCGAACAGGAUUAGAUACCCUGGUAGUCCACGCCGUAAACGAUGAGUGCUAGGUGUUGGAUCCUUUCCGGGAUUCAGUGCCGCAGCUAACGCAUUAAGCACUCCGCCUGGGGAGUACGACCGCAAGGUUGAAACUCAAAGGAAUUGACGGGGGCCCGCACAAGCAGUGGAGUAUGUGGUUUAAUUCGACGCAACGCGAAGAACCUUACCAAGUCUUGACAUCCCUUGACGAACAUAGAAAUAUGUUUUCUCUUCGGAGCAAGGAGACAGGUGGUGCAUGGUUGUCGUCAGCUCGUGUCGUGAGAUGUUGGGUUAAGUCCCGCAACGAGCGCAACC